CGCCUGGGGAGUACGGGUGAGGUAACGGCUCACCAAGGCAUCGACGGGUAGCUGGUCUGAGAGGACGAUCAGCCACACUGGGACUGAGACACGGCCCAGACUCCUACGGGAGGCAGCAGUAGGGAAUCUUGCGCAAUGGGCGAAAGCCUGACGCAGCAACGCCGCGUGGGGGAUGAAUGCCUUCGGGUUGUAAACCCCUUUCAGCAGGGACGAAAAUGACGGUACCUGCAGAAGAAGCUCCGGCCAACUACGUGCCAGCAGCCGCGGUAAUACGUAGGGAGCGAGCGUUGUCCGGAAUUAUUGGGCGUAAAGAGCUCGUAGGCGGUUCAGUAAGUCGGGUGUGAAAACUCAAGGCUCAACCUUGAGACGCCACUCGAUACUGCUGUGACUUGAGUCCGGUAGAGGAGUGUGGAAUUCCUGGUGUAGCGGUGAAAUGCGCAGAUAUCAGGAGGAACACCAGCGGCGAAGGCGGCACUCUGGGCCGGUACUGACGCUGAGGAGCGAAAGCAUGGGGAGCAAACAGGAUUAGAUACCCUGGUAGUCCAUGCCGUAAACGUUGGGCACUAGGUAUGGGAUCAUAUCAACGGAUUCCGUGCCGUAGCUAACGCAUUAAGUGCCCCGCCUGGGGAGUACGG
rnacentral:rRNA from 1 species